rnacentral:rRNA from 1 species
GACGAACGCUGGCGGCGUGCUUAACACAUGCAAGUCGAACGGUGAAGCGCCUUCCUUUUUGGUGGGUGUGGAUGAGUGGCGAACGGGUGAGUAACACGUGAGUAACCUGCCCCCUUCUUCUGGAUAACCGCAUGAAAGUGUGGCUAAUACGGGAUAUUCUGGGUCUGUCGCAUGAUGGGUCUGGGAAAGAUAUUGUUUCGGUGGGGGAUGGGCUCGCGGCCUAUCAGCUUGUUGGGGGGGUGAUGGCCUACCAAGGCGGUGCCGGGUAGCCGGCCUGGGAGGGUGGACGGUCACACUGGGACUGAGACACGGCCCAGACUCCUGCGGGAGGCAGCAGUGGGUAAUAGUGCACAAUGGGCGCAAGCCUGAUGCAGCGACGCCGCGUGAGGGAUGGAGGCCUGCGGGUUGUGAACCUCUUUCGCCAGUGAAGCAGGCCUGCCUCGUUUGUGGGUGGGUUGACGGUAGCUGGAUAAGAAGCGCCGGCCAACUACGUG